GCCUCCUUAGCUCAGAGGAUAGAGCAGGGGCGUCCUAAGCCUUUGGUCCCAGGUUCGACUCCUGGAGGGGGCG
rnacentral:tRNA from 1 species